rnacentral:rRNA from 1 species
AGUGAACGCUGGCGGUAGGCCUAACACAUGCAAGUCGAACGGCAGCACAGUAAGAGCUUGCUCUUACGGGUGGCGAGUGGCGGACGAGUGAGGAAUACAUCGGAAUCUACUUUUUCGUGGGGGAUAACGUAGGGAAACUUACGCUAAUACCGCAUACGACCUACGGGUGAAAGCAGGGGAUCUUCGGACCUUGCGCGAUUGAAUGAGCCGAUGUCGGAUUAGCUAGUUGGCGGGGUAAAGGCCCACCAAGGCGACGAUCCGUAGCUGGUCUGAGAGGAUGAUCAGCCACACUGGAACUGAGACACGGUCCAGACUCCUACGGGAGGCAGCAGUGGGGAAUAUUGGACAAUGGGCGCAAGCCUGAUCCAGCCAUACCGCGUGGGUGAAGAAGGCCUUCGGUUUGUAAAGCCCUUUUGUUGGGAAAGAAAAGCAGCAGGUUAAUACCCCGCGGUUCUGACGGUACCCAAAGAAUAAGCACCGGCUAACUUCGUG